rnacentral:rRNA from 1 species
AAUAUUGGACAAUGGGGGCAACCCUGAUCCAGCCAUGCCGCGUGUGUGAAGAAGGUCUUCGGAUUGUAAAGCACUUUAAGUUGGGAGGAAGGGCUUUAGGUUAAUACGUUAAUGUUUUGACGUUACCAACCGAAUAAGCACCGGCUAACUCUGUUCCAGCAGCCGCGGUAAUACAGAGGGUGCAAGCGUUAAUCGGAAUUACCGGGCGUAAAGCGCGCGUAGGUGGUUCAUUAAGAUGGAUGUGAAAUCCCCGGGCUUAACCUGGGAACUGCUUUCAUAACUGGUGAGCUAGAGUACGGUAGAGGGUAGUGGAAUUUCCUGUGUAGCGGUGAAAUGCGUAGAUAUAGGAAGGAACACCAGUGGCGAAGGCGACUACCUGGACUGAUACUGACACUGAGGUGCGAAAGCGUGGGGAGCAAAC